AGAGACGGCUGGAUGGUCGCGACAUUGUCGAGGAACGUCCGGACUCCACAGGACACGGUGGUGGCUAACGGCCACCCGGGGCGACUCGCGGGAUAGUGCCACAGAAAACAAACCGCCCGCUAAGGGUAAGGGUGCAAAGGUGGUGUAAGAGACCACCGCGGUUCAGGUGACUGAACUGGCAGGGUAAACCCCACCGGGAGCAAGACCAAGCAGUGCGCAGGGCUGUCCGUCCAAUGCGUGCGGGUAGGUUGCUAGAAGCCGCCGGUAACGGCGGUUCGAGAUAGAUGACCAUCGAAGGGUGGGCUUUGCCCCCUUGAACAGAAUCCGGCUUAUAGGCCGUCUCUUCCA
rnacentral:RNase_P_RNA from 1 species